CACUCCUUCCCUCCAAAUUUAUAUAUAUGCAAGGAAGGUCCAUGAUUUAUAAUUCUUCAAUCUUCAUUAAUUAAUAAGCUCUCAUGUAUUAUUGCUGAAGAUCAGGUUCGCUGCAAAAGGCGUCCGGUUCAAAUGAUUUUGCAGAUUCAUCACUGUAAACUCCAGUUCGCACUUCUUCAUCAUAUCUAUCUUCUCUAUUUUGAACGGUGUUCAUCAUGCCAAAGAAGGUACAUUCAGAGAAGAAGAAAGCUAGCGCCUUCUGCGAAAUGCAGGCCAAGGUUGAGAAAGAGAUGGACGGUGGUUAAGGUUGUUGAAGAUAGAAACCUGACUCUUACCCUUCAAGGGGAAAACUGAGACAGUUAAUUUCUUUUUCAAUUGUGCUUUUGAUUUGGAAGGUGUGCAAUACUUGAUAACUUUUCAGACGUUAUAGAUAGAAUUGAAGGCACAAUUUCGAAACAGUAUUCUAGACUCACAGAAAUUCCAAAGCAAUGAUGCACUCAAUAAUGUGCAGGAUCUUGACAUUAUGAUCUUCUCCCUUUGGGAACAGGUUGCUGUUGCCUGUAUGAAGGUAUGGAAUAUACACAGAGCUGCAGAUGUUGAAUGAGAAAUGCAAUCUAGAGAGGCAAUUCUCUGAGCUAAGAAAUGGGUUUCGCAUAUUAACGUAGGCAAAUGCAGAGUGGGCAAAUUGAGCGGAAUGGUCGAAGGUGGCAAAUUGAGCAGAGUUGAAGGGCACAAAAUCAGUGUCUCUAAGGGAGCAUAGCUGAAAGGGGAGGUUGAGAGAAUGAAUGCUAAGCCAAGGAUGGAGAAACUAGAGCUGAUUUACUCUCCGAGGCAAGCGUUGAGUAUGAGCCCAAGGAAUCUUCAUCUCUUAGAAACAUACCAGUGGUGAUUUGUUACAAAUGAAUGUGCCUUCCAGAAUUAGCAGGGAGUAUAAGUGGAGGAGAGAGUGUUCCAGCACCAAAAGCAUCUCCUGAGGCUUGGCAAGGAUUGUUAUGAUGUUCUUAGAGGAGAAUAAGAAUACUGCUGCUUUGACAACUAAAGCUAAGGUCAGGAAGUUGUCAGUUUUGAAAAGGGCUGAAAAAUCCUUGAGGAAAGAGGUUUUAUAAUGUUAGCUUUGCUUAGCCAUGAUUGCAGUGCUCAAAGGAGGCACCAACAGGUACUACUAAAAAGUAUUAUAGCCCAAAAGUUUCAAAAGUUCAGAAGCUCUUGGAUUAAACAAACUCAUAUUUGCCAAUGAGCCAUAGUUCACACGGCAUUCCGCCCCUUUUCCAUCUCAAAGGUCUCGGGUUCGAAUCCUACCAGCUGCAACCGAGAAGAAAAAAUUGGUAAGUAUGUAAGGAGUGUGUGAGUGUGUAUUGUGUACCGAGAAUUGGGGGUUGUCCAAUUCAUUAGGCAACACCAUUAUUGAUUCGAAGAACUAAAAGAAAAUAGUUGUUUCUGAGCCAUUGACCACUGUAGUAGCCACUGAUUUGUGCUUUAAGGCACUACAUUUUAUUCUAUUUUUUGUAUGUGUAAGGAUGUUAGCAUGUGCUUAAAUGUUGAUUUGUGUUACUUUAA